rnacentral:lncRNA from 1 species
GCCUUUUUCCCCUCUGCUCCUGCUCCAGCGGCACAAUGUGAUCCACCGACAAGGAGGGACGCCAAUAAGAAGCCAUUUGUUGCUGUUGGAUUACGAUUUCAGUGCUCCUACACUGCCUUCCUGGACAGUUAUUCCAUAGGUGGCAUUCACAUCAUCCAGACUCCUCCAUUGUCUUGCUUGUUUUUCGCCAUUAUACUUAGGGAAUGUUCUGGAAAUGCAACAUCCUGAGGUUAGGAGGGAGAUGCAUAGAACAUUCUAGGCUCAGUUCUAGCUUUUCAUAGAACAAGGUUUUCACCACAUUCUCACAGUCAGUAAUAUGACCAUGGAGACAUAAAUUCCAAUGCACUUUGCUUUUGGGGAACUUCUCAUCUGGUAUAAGUGGAACAGUCAAGGCCUCAUCUACUCCAGGAAGUUUUCUGGGCUAAGACUUAGAGCAAAUUCUUGACUUCUGUUGUGUCUUGCUGCCUAUCUGAAAGUAAUAAAACUGCUUCAUGUAAAUUCAUCUACAUGUGGGUAUUCUGUUUCAUCAGAUAGAUGAGUUGAUAAUCAGUACACAAUGAAAUGGCUUCAUACUUCCUGCUAUCUGAAGUCCUUAAGCAUGAGAAGGAAUGAUUGAUGGCGUGUGAGUGAGUGGUGCCUGUCAAAUCCACAAACAAGACUGCUGCAAUUCAUUGUUAGCUCGGCCAAGUUAACAAUGGUUGCACAGCGCAGGACCAAUUGGGCUUUAAACUAAAUCCCUAUUUCUGUGCAAACGGCUGAUUUGUUGACUCCUUCUAGAGUAAGGCUGGCUACAUGGAACCGUGAGAAGCUGAACUGUGGAGACAAGAACAGUAUUUUUUCCCCAAUGGUCAAGUUCUGUGGUGGCCUUCUGGAACAGAUUGAAUUACUUCCACAUCUUCUGAUUGAACACGUUUAUUUCCAAGCACCAAGAGCAACAGGAGCUCCUUCAGACUGUAUCAGCUUACAAGCCAGUGUGCAAAGACAGGAUGAAAAACCACAGGCUUAUGGGAUGCUUCCUGUAGGGGCCAAAUUGCUUGCCACUCUUGCUUCACCAAGCUGUCUAGAAAAACAUUUGGUUUCCAGAUGUUCAGUAUGACAGGACCCUUGUUCUUUUUCAGGAUCCAUGGGACUUGUACUAUCCAAGAUACCAUCAGAAUGUUUUUCCAUAGUGUUUUCAGGUAAACAUGUAAAGGCUAGGACAAGAAGACAGGCUUCCAAAGCAGACUGAAGACCCUGCUCAUUCCUUCACUGAUAUUACAAACACCUUCUUCAGAUUUCUGAAAUGACCAGAGGCUCCCUAGGGCUCCUCCAGGCCUUCACAACCAGAUUGGGACUUGGAGACUGAACCAACAUUGGGUUCAUGACUCUUGGGUUAUCUGGCAUGAUACACAUUUUCUUCUAUAACUCUGAAUGUAUGUAAAUGAGUGUAAUAAAUACUCUUUUAAUAUGUGUCUUUGUUAGGGUUUUAUUUCUAUGAAGAGAGACCAUGACCACAGCAACUCUUAUAUAAAGGAAACCAUCUAAUUGGGGCUGGCUUACAGGUUUCAGAGGUUUAGUCCAUUAUUCCCAUGUUGGGAAGCACAGCAGCAUGCAGGCAGACAUGCUGGAGAAGAGGGCAAGAGUUGUACAUCUGGAUCAGCAGGCAGCAGGGAGGGACUAUGAGACACUGGG